AAUAAAACAUUGUUUAUAGAUUUGUUAAUAUACACAACAGUAGUACAUACAAAAUGUGACAAAAGAAUAAAGCUUUUCAUCCUUUUUAAAUACCCUUUAGUGACACAUUUAUUCAGGCCAUUUAGAACCCUUUCUUCUUUCAUUUGGUAACAGUUAGCAACUCUCCCUUAUUUAGGAUCAAAAGAAAACCUGGCCAGCCAGGAAAUCCCUUCAUACCUUUCAGAAACACACUCAGCCAAUCAGCAGCUUCUCUCCCUCCACAGCCCCCUGCUAACAACGAUAAUGACACUUGCUUCAGUGUACCAAUACAGGGGACCAUUGCAAACAAAGGAUCUCUCCCAAUUCCAAACAAAUAAACAAUAACAAACAAUGCAGUUCAAGACAGACUGGUCAAAUUAUAAUUAGAGGGCUUUUAUAUUCCUUUAUAUGGAAAAACUGUGGCUGUGGAAGAGUCAGAGUAGACGUUGUUCAAAACCACAAAGAUGAAAAGUAACUUUGCCUGAAUUGGCCUCGGGACACAUGGCAAAAUUUGAAUUUUGGAUGUUCACUGUGCUCCUGUUUACACUGCACCGCCAUCUACCUGGAUACAAUUAUUGUGGCAUCAACACUGACAAUCUGGCACAAAGGCUUAUUAACACUGAACAUAGUAGCCAGUUAAACGUGAAGUCUGGUAACAUUUCAUCAGUCAUCUUUGAAUGGGCAUCAUAAGGAGAGGAUCUUUUCAAGUGGUUUCUCUACAUAUCCAUGUUCUCUUCAAUUAAUUCAUCAUGCAGCAACAGGUUAACAGACCAGGUGUUGGAUGAUGUAAGCAAAGUCUGGCGCCAUGAUUAAGUGGUUAUAUUGUAUUCAUCGCUUUGCACCCAGUGGGAAUGCCCGACUUGAACAGAAGGUUUUAGCUGGGUGACGUACUACAAAAUGUUUAAAACCUUUCAACGGUGUCUUAUCUGGAAUAUUUCUCAGUAUAGGACAGCUUGAUUGAUCCCAAGUCCAGACAACCAUGGAAAUAGACAUCCUUUGGAGUUGUUGAGUGUUGUUACUAACUUCAAGUAGUACUGCAGCAUUCUGAAGAGAAAAUAAGAGAGAAGUGUGACAAUGUGUGCCCUAACUGUGGAUCUGGAUAAGAGUGUCUGCUUAAUAACCUACAUGCAAAUGGAUACAUGGAGACAUAACAUUAUUUCUAUUGUCUUAUGAAUAGCUAAUACAAAAUUAAUGAGCAAAUUCUCCCAAAGAAAUGCAAAUAAGUGGAGAAAGGAACUUUCACACCUUAAUUAAAGUUCUAGGUGAUCGGUCACUGUCACAUUUCAUCAAAGUUUUAAAACAAUUGCUUGCACUCCAGUUUGCUAUCAGUCAGUAGAUGUUAUGGACAUACUCGUCUAAUUGUCAUGAUAUAAUUCUUAAGUGUAGCUUUGCAACUUUUUGUAACUUUUACACCUUCACAUUCUGGUUUUGACUCUGGCGUUGUUGUGUAAAUAGGAUUCCUGUCUACCUAGCCAAUUAGCUCUGCAUUGCAGCUUUCUUCAACAAAUUUCAGAUGUUGGCUAAAAGAUUAGAAGUUCGAAAUGCAGAAAAAUGUCAAGUGUCCUAUAUAUCUAUUAAACUUUUGUAAUUUGACAGAUGCUGUUAUCCAGAGUGACUAGCAUAUAUU
ensembl:lncRNA